rnacentral:lncRNA from 1 species
UCUUUAAUUUUAUUUCUCUCAUAGUGAAAAGCUUGUACACCCCAUAGAGGUGGGCUUAAGACCAAUCCAUGUAUUUUUAUUAUGUUUGUUUAUUAUUUUUUCUUCUUCUUUUUCUCGUAUAAUGUUAACAUCUGCUUCUCGGAGGUUGUUGUGAUCUUGGGCGGAUGAUCCGUAUUCCAUAAUUAAGGGAUCUACCCCAAUACCCAUUAACACUGAGCUAGUAGUAGUAGUUCCUCCUCCACC